AGGGCGCAUGGCGGAUGCCUUGGCUCUCGGAGGCGAUGAAGGACGUGAUAAGCUGCGAUAAGCUUUGGGGAGGUGCAAAUGACCUUUGAUCCAGAGAUUUCCGAAUGGGACAACCCAAUAUCUUGAAGAGGUAUUAUCCAACGUUGUUGGAGGCUAACGCAGGGAACUGAAACAUCUUAGUACCUGCAGGAAAAGAAAAUAAACAAUGAUUCCCCCAGUAGUGGCGAGCGAACGGGGAACAGCCCAAACCAUCCAUGUUACGGCAUGGGUGGGGUUGUAGGACUACGCCGUUGCAUGAAGACAUCAGAGAAGAACUUUCUGGAAAGAAAGACCAUAGAGCAUGACAGUUGCGUAUUCGAAUGUUGUCGAAGCAUAGUAGUAUCCUGAGUAGCGCGGAGCACGAGGAAUUCUGCGUGAAUCUGCCGGGACCAUCCGGUAAGGCUAAAUACUCCCGAGAGACCGAUAGCGAACCAGUACCGUGAGGGAAAGGUGAAAAGCACUUCGAACAGAAGAGUGAAAUAGUUCCUGAAACCGUGCGCCUACAAGCGGUCGGAGCUCGUUAAUGAGUGACGGCGUGCCUUUUGCAUAAUGAACCUACGAGUUGCCUUUGCCGGCAAGGUUAAGUGUGACGACACACGUAUCCGAAGCGAAAGCGAGUCUGAAUAGGGCGUAUAGUCGGCAGUGGCAGACGCGAAACCAAGUGAUCUACCCUUGGCCAGGUUGAAGGCUGGGUAACACCAGCUGGAGGACCGCACCAAUAAGCGUUGAAAAGCUUCUGGAUGAGCUGAGGGUAGGGGUGAAAGGCUAAUCAAACUUGGAGAUAGCUCGUACUCCCCGAAAUGCAUUUAGGUGCAGCCUUGCGGGUUACUGAUGUGAGGUAGAGCGACUGAUAAGAUGCGAGGGCUUCACCGCCUAUCAAGUCUUGACAAACUCCGAAUGCGCAUCAGUUCUACCGCAGGAGUGAGGGCAUGGGUGCUAAGGUCCGUGCCCGAGAGGAGAAGAAUCCGGACCACCUGCUAAGGUCCCGAAAUGACAGCUAAGUUAAACUAACGAAGUCUGACUGCUAAGACAGCUAGGAUGUUGGCUUGGAAGCAGCCAUUCAUUUAAAGAGUGCGUAACAGCUCACUAGUCGAGGAGUCGGGCGUGGAUAAUAAUCGGGUAUUAAGUUGUCUACCGAAGCAGUGGGAUCAUUUAUAUGAUCGGUAGGGGAGCAUUCCAGUCAGCGUCGAAGGCGUACCGUGAGGUAUUCUGGAGCGUCUGGAAAAGCAAAUGUAGGUAUAAGUAACGAUAAAGGGGGCGGGAAACCCCCUCGCCGAAAGACUAAGGUUUCCUGAUCAACGCUAAUCGGAUCAGGGUCAGUCGGGUCCUAAGGCUCAGCCGAACGGCGAUGCCGAUGGCAGAAACGGUUAAUAUUCCGUUACUACCUUCAGGAGUGACGUGGAGACGCAGUAGUGACAGUGCCGCCAUCUGACGGAAUAGAUGGUUGAAGGGUGUAGGAGUCGAUCAUGGCAGGCAAAUCCACCAUGAGAUCCGAACCUGAUAGUAUGCCGCGUCCUUCGGGACAAGGCAAUAGUGCGCGUAAGCAUGCUGCCGAGAAAAUCCGCUAAACUUAAUCCUGCAGGUACCCGUACCGCAAACGGACACACGUAGUCGGGAUGAAUAUUCUAAGGCGCUUGAGUGAUUCACGGUUAAGGAACUAGGCAAACUGACCCUGUAACUUCGGGAUAAAGGGUCCCUACCCUUUUAUGGGAGGGCGCAGAGAAUCGGUCCAGGCAACUGUUUAACAAAAACACAGGGCUGUGCCAAAUCGAAAGAUCCAGUAUACAGCCUGACACCUGCCCGGUGCUGGAAGGUUAAGAGGAGAUGUCAUCGAUAAGAGAAGCGUUGAAUUGAAGCCCCAGUAAACGGCGGCCGUAACUAUAACGGUCCUAAGGUAGCGAAAUUCCUUGUCGGGUAAGUUCCGACCUGCACGAAUGGUGUAAUGAUCUGGACGCUGUCUCAACCGUGAGCUCAGUGAAAUUGUAGUAUCGGUGAAGAUGCCGAUUACCCGCGAUGGGACGAAAAGACCCCGUGAACCUUUACUAUAGCUUAUCAUUGAAUCUGGGCACGUGAUGUGUAGGAUAGGUCGGAGGCUUUGAAGCAGGUACGCCAGUAUUUGUGGAGCCGCUGUUGAAAUACGACCCUUUAUUUGUUUGGAUUCUAACCCGUGGAUACGGGGACAUUGAUUGGUGGGUAGUUUGACUGGGGUGGUCGCCUCCAAAAGCGUAACGGAGGCUUCUAAAGGUGCCCUCCGGCCGAUUGGUAACCGGCCUUAGAGUGUAAUGGCAUAAGGGCGCUUGACUGGGAGACUAACAAGUCGAUCAGGUAGGAAACUAGAGCAUAGUGAUCCGGUGUUUCCGUAUGGAAGGGACAUCGCUCAAAGGAUAAAAGGUACUCCGGGGAUAACAGGCUGAUCCCUCCCAAGAGCUCAUAUCGACGGAGUGGUUUGGCACCUCGAUGUCGGCUCGUCACAUCCUGGGGCUGGAGAAGGUCCCAAGGGUUGGGCUGUUCGCCCAUUAAAGUGGCACGCGAGCUGGGUUCAGAACGUCGUGAGACAGUUCGGUCUCUAU
rnacentral:rRNA from 1 species